AUGGCGACCGGCGCACGGGUGAGUAACACGUAUCCAACCUGCCGAUGACUCGGGGAUAGCCUUUCGAAGAAAGAUUAAUACCCGAUGGCAUAGUUCUUCCGCAUGGUAGAACUAUUAAAGAAUUUCGGUCAUCGAUGGGGAUGCGUUCCAUUAGGUUGUUGGCGGGGUAACGGCCCACCAAGCCUUCGAUGGACAGGGGUUCUGAGAGGAAGGUCCCCCACAUUGGAACUGAGACACGGUCCAA
rnacentral:rRNA from 1 species